rnacentral:rRNA from 1 species
GAUGAACGCUGGCGGCGUGCCUAAUACAUGCAAGUCGAGCGAACAGACGAGGAGCUUGCUCCUCUGACGUUAGCGGCGGACGGGUGAGUAACACGUGGAUAACCUACCUAUAAGACUGGGAUAACUUCGGGAAACCGGAGCUAAUACCGGAUAAGAUAUUGAACCGCAUGGUUCAAUAGUGAAAGACGGUUUUGCUGUCACUUAUAGAUGGAUCCGCGCCGCAUUAGCUAGUUGGUAAGGUAACGGCUUACCAAGGCGACGAUGCGUAGCCGACCUGAGAGGGUGAUCGGCCACACUGGAACUGAGACACGGUCCAGACUCCUACGGGAGGCAGCAGUAGGGAAUCUUCCGCAAUGGGCGAAAGCCUGACGGAGCAACGCCGCGUGAGUGAUGAAGGUCUUCGGAUCGUAAAACUCUGUUAUUAGGGAAGAACAAAUGUGUAAGUAACUAUGCACGUCUUGACGGUACCUAAUCAGAAAGCCACGGCUAACUACGUG